UACGUAGGGGGCAAGCGUUGUCCGGAUUUAUUGGGCGUAAAGAGCGUGUAGGCGGCUGGGUAGGUCUGCUGUGAAAACUCGAGGCUCAACCUCGAGAUGUCGGCGGAAACCGUCUGGCUAGAGUCCGGAAGAGGAGAGUGGAAUUCCUGGUGUAGCGGUGAAAUGCGCAGAUAUCAGGAAGAACACCUAUGGCGAAGGCAGCUCUCUGGGACGGUACUGACGCUGAGACGCGAAAGCGUGGGAGCGAACAGG
rnacentral:rRNA from 1 species